GUUUUGGGGACAUCUUGGUGCCUUGGGGACAUGUUGGGGACAUCUCAAGAUCUUGGGGACAUCUCAGCACCUUGGGGACACCUCGUUGCCUUGGGGACAUCUCAGUUCCUUGGAGAUAUCUCAGCACCUUGGGGACAUCUCAGCAUCUUGAGGACUUCUUGGCACCUUGGGGACACCUCGCUGCCUUGGGGACACCUCAACGUCUUGGGGACAUCUCGGCACCUCGGGGACAUCUCAGCAUCUUGGGGACAUUUCGGUGCUUUGGGGACCUCUUGACAUCUUGGGGACAUCUCAACACCUUGGGGACAUCUCAGAAUCCUGGGGACACCUCAGUGUCUUGAGGUUAUUUCAACGUCUUGGGGACAUCUCAGCACCUUGGUGGCACCUCCGCACCUUGGGAACACCUUGGUGCCUUGGGGACAUCUCAGCACCUUGGGGACAUCUCGGUGUCUUGGGGACAUCUCAGUAUCUUGGGGACAUCUCAACAUCUUGGUGGCACCUCCGCACCUUGGGAACCCCUUGGUGCCUUGGGGACAUCUCACCACCUUGGGGACAUCUCGAUAUCUUGGGGACAUCUUGGUGCCUUGGGGACAUCUCAACAUCUUGGGGACAUCUCGAUAUCUUGGGGACAUCUCAACAUCUUGGUGGCACCUCCGCACCUUGAGAACAUCUUGGUGCCUUGGGGACAUCUCAGCGCCCUGGGGACAUCUCAAUGUCUUGGGGACAUCCCAACAUCUUGGUGGCACCUCUGCACCUUGGGGACAUCUCGGUGUCUUGGGGACAUCUCAACAUCUUGGUGGCACCUCCACACCUUGGGAACACCUUGGUGCCUUGGGGACAUCUCAGCACCUUGGGGACAUCUCGAUAUCUUGGGGACAUCUUGGUGUCUUGGGGACAUCUCAACAUCUUGGGGACAUCUCGGCAUCUUGGGGACAUCUCAUUGUCUUGGGGACAUCUCAGCACCUUGGUGGCACCUCCGCACCUUGGGAACACCUUGGUGCCUUGGGGACAUCUCAGCACCUUGGGGACAUCUCGG
rnacentral:lncRNA from 1 species